UGCAAGUCGAGCGGAACGAGUUAUCUGAACCUUCGGGGAACGAUAACGGCGUCGAGCGGCGGACGGGUGAGUAAUGCCUAGGAAAUUGCCCUGAUGUGGGGGAUAACCAUUGGAAACGAUGGCUAAUACCGCAUAAUACCUUCGGGUCAAAGAGGGGGACCUUCGGGCCUCUCGCGUCAGGAUAUGCCUAGGUGGGAUUAGCUAGUUGGUGAGGUAAUGGCUCACCAAGGCGACGAUCCCUAGCUGGUCUGAGAGGAUGAUCAGCCACACUGGAACUGAGACACGGUCCAGACUCCUACGGGAGGCAGCAGUGGGGAAUAUUGCACAAUGGGCGCAAGCCUGAUGCAGCCAUGCCGCGUGUGUGAAGAAGGCCUUCGGGUUGUAAAGCACUUUCAGUCGUGAGGAAGGUAGUGUAGUUAAUAGCUGCAUUAUUUGACGUUAGCGACAGAAGAAGCACCGGCUAACUCCGUGCCAGCAGCCGCGGUAAUACGGAGGGUGCGAGCGUUAAUCGGAAUUACUGGGCGUAAAGCGCAUGCAGGUGGUUUGUUAAGUCAGAUGUGAAAGCCCGGGGCUCAACCUCGGAAUAGCAUUUGAAACUGGCAGACUAGAGUACUGUAGAGGGGGGUAGAAUUUCAGGUGUAGCGGUGAAAUGCGUAGAGAUCUGAAGGAAUACCGGUGGCGAAGGCGGCCCCCUGGACAGAUACUGACACUCAGAUGCGAAAGCGUGGGGAGCAAACAGGAUUAGAUACCCUGGUAGUCCACGCCGUAAACGAUGUCUACUUGGAGGUUGUGGCCUUGAGCCGUGGCUUUCGGAGCUAACGCGUUAAGUAGACCGCCUGGGGAGUACGGU
rnacentral:rRNA from 1 species